rnacentral:rRNA from 1 species
CCUACGGGAGGCAGCAGUGAGGAAUAUUGGUCAAUGGCCGAAAGGCUGAACCAGCCAAGUCGCGUGAGGGAUGAAUGUUCUAUGGAUCGUAAACCUCUUUUGUCAGGGAGUAAAGUGCGGGACGUGUCCCGUUUUGAGUAUACCUGAUGAAUAAGGAUCGGCUAACUCCGUGCCAGCAGCCGCGGUAAUACGGAGGAUCCGAGCGUUAUCCGGAUUUAUUGGGUUUAAAGGGUGCGUAGGCGGACUUGGAAGUCAGGGGUGAAAGUUUGGGGCUCAACCCUAUGAGUGCCGUUGAAACUGGGUGUCUUGAGUAGGCGAGAGGUAGGCGGAAUGCGUGGUGUAGCGGUGAAAUGCAUAGAUAUCACGCAGAACCCCGAUUGCGAAGGCAGCCUGCCAAGGCAUGACUGACGCUGGUGCACGAAAGCGUGGGGAUCAAACAGGAUUAGAUACCCGGGUAGUC